AUUGGUGUAGGUGUUUUCUUCGUGGCUUUGCUGCUGUUGGUGGGAUUACGGGUGGGAUGUAGGAAACGUCCAACAAUCACCACAGAUUCUCCAACCCGUCCUUCCUCGUUCCAGUCUUCCUCUUCUCCUCAAACAGUGUAUGGACAGGUCAGUGUAGCUGUUCCGGUCCAGGGAAUAUAUGCUGGCGUCACAAAACCCAGGAUGGAGAAAGGU